GUCAAAUUGGACAAAAUAGAAACAAAAACUUGGAGAAUAUGGGAUGUGUGGGUCCUAACGGGCAGUGGGAAGCCAUAAAGAUUUUGAUUCAAAACUAGAAAUAUGUCGAUAAAUACAACUGACAGACAUACUAAUGAAGAGUUGUCUCUGGAGUAAAAUAUACAUAGAAUCACAAACUGUUUUACGAAAGGGGUAAAACAGCAUAUAAGACAGCAUUCAGACGAAGGUGUUCCUCCCAUUCUAAGCUGUUCAUUCCACUGUACAUUCAUUUUUUAAAAUUGAAGUGUAAUUGAUUUACAGUGUUGUGUUAGUUUCUGGUGUUCAGCAGAGUGAUGCAGUUACACAUAUAAAAACAUUCCUUUUCAUAUUCUUUUUUAUUAUAGGCUAUUAUAAGGUAUUGAGUAUAGUUCCCUGUGCUGUCUGGUAGGACCUGGUUAUUUAUCUGUUUUAUACAGAAUAAUAACUGCACGUACAUUCAUUUCUGAUUUGAGCCUCUGGGGGAAGGGGCGUGGCCCCCUGUGGCAGGCUGGCCCUGGGGCCCCGGCAGGGAGAGUGACAUCUCAGAAUGACUCCCUGGGGAGCCCCGCUCCCCUCUCACCAGCACCCAGACCCAGAAGACCCCUCCGCCUGCCCUGGCCCUGCCAUGUGCACCUGCCUCCUGUGCUGUGUGGCCUUUUGUCUCCUGCAGGCAGGUCCGGUAAAUGCGGGUGUCAUUCAGACCCCAAAAUUCCAGGUCCUGAAGAUAGGACAGGGUGUGACACUGAAAUGUCCCCAGGAUCUGAAACACGACUACAUGUACUGGUACCGACAAGACCCGGGACACGGGCUGAGGCUGAUUCAUUACUCAGCUGGCAGUGGGACCACUGACAAAGGAGACAUCCCGGACGGGUACAGUGUCUCCAGAUCAGACGUAGAGAACUUCAUUCUCACGCUGGAGUCCGCCACCCCCAGCCAGACAUCUGUGUACCUGUGUGCCAGCAGUUACUCCACAGCGCUGCACAGCCACCUUCUCUCUGCACAAAAAGGCAAGGGAGACCCUGCACCCCGUGGACUCAGUGGAGCCCUUGGCAGGCUUCUCCCCCAUCGGGAGCCUUGGAACCCUGGGGACCACACGCGAGCAGCGUGACCCUGA